AUGACAUGCAUUACUAGGGAUUGAACUGCAAUCCUUGUGCUUGCCAGGCAGUGGCCUAGACCACUACGCUAUCUCCCUAACCCUAGGACUAAUACUUGA